rnacentral:rRNA from 1 species
ACAGUGGACGCGAGCAUCUGUGGCCAAGUUUUUAAGGGCGCACGGUGGAUGCCUUGGCACCAGGAACCGAUGAAGGACGUGGGAGGCCGCGAUAGUCCCCGGGGAGUCGUCAACCAGGCUUUGAUCCGGGGGUUUCCGAAUGGGGAAACCCGGCAGUCGUCAUGGGCUGUCACCCGCUGCUGAACACAUAGGCAGUGUGGAGGGAACGAGGGGAAGUGAAACAUCUCAGUACCCUCAGGAAGAGAAAACAACCGUGAUUCCGGGAGUAGUGGCGAGCGAAACCGGAUGAGGCCAAACC